rnacentral:pre_miRNA from 1 species
AGUGAGAUAGCUGGGUCAUAUAUGGUGGUUUCAUUUCUACUUUUUUGAGAAAUCUCCAUGCUGUUUUCCAGAGUGGUUGCACUAAUUUUGCAGUCCCACCAACAAU